rnacentral:tRNA from 3 species
GGGCCCGUAGCUCAGUCGGUCAGAGCAGCGGACUCAUAAUCCGUAGGUCGCAGGUUCGAGUCCUGCCGGGCCCACCG